AAGAGACAGCAGCAGCCACGGUAAUACAGAGGGUGCGAGCGUUAAUCGGAUUUACUGGGCGUAAAGCGUGCGUAGGCGGCUUCUUAAGUCGGAUGUGAAAUCCCUGAGCUUAACUUAGGAAUUGCAUUCGAUACUGGGAAGCUAGAGUAUGGGAGAGGAUGGUAGAAUUCCAGGUGUAGCGGUGAAAUGCGUAGAGAUCUGGAGGAAUACCGAUGGCGAAGGCAGCCAUCUGGCCUAAUACUGACGCUGAGGUACGAAAGCAUGGGGAGCAAACAGGAUUAGAUACCCGAGUAGUCCCUGUCUCUUAUAC
rnacentral:rRNA from 1 species